rnacentral:rRNA from 1 species
AGCGAACGCUGGCGGCAGGCCUAACACAUGCAAGUCGAACGAACUCUUCGGAGUUAGUGGCGGACGGGUGAGUAACACGUGGGAACGUGCCUUUAGGUUCGGAAUAACUCAGGGAAACUUGUGCUAAUACCGAAUGUGCCCUUCGGGGGAAAGAUUUAUCGCCUUUAGAGCGGCCCGCGUCUGAUUAGCUAGUUGGUGAGGUAAAGGCUCACCAAGGCGACGAUCAGUAGCUGGUCUGAGAGGAUGAUCAGCCACAUUGGGACUGAGACACGGCCCAAACUCUUACGGGAGGCAGCAGUGGGGAAUCUUGCGCAAUGGGCGAAAGCCUGACGCAGCCAUGCCGCGUGAAUGAUGAAGGUCUUAGGAUUGUAAAAUUCUUUCACCGGGGACGAUAAUGACGGUACCCGGAGAAGAAGCCCCGGCUAACUUCGUG